AUAUAUUGUUAAAAUCGGUACCGGCCGUCACCGGGCUGCUAUGCAGUACUUAUGUUUAUUCACAUAUAACUGAUGUCAUCUCACUUUGAUAAUUCAAUUCAAUAAAGCACCAUUCGUGCGCGUCACUAUUAGACCGACGGAAGCCGGCGCUCUUUGGAGUGUCCUGCAAAUACCGAAACUAGCCAAAUGCCUCGUCAUCUAAUUAGUGACGCGUAUGAAUGGAUCAACAAGAUUCCUUCUGUCCCUAUCUACUAUCUAGCGAAACCACAGCCAAGGGAACGGGCUUGGCAAAAUCAGCGGGGAAAGAAGACCCUGUUGAGCUUGACUCUAGUCUGACUCUGUGAAGAGACAUGAAAGGUGUAGCAUAGGUGGGAGAUUGUCAAAUUGCCAUCGUUCGCGCGGUGGUCCGGUGAUCGCCAAUGAAAUACCACUACUUUGAUCGUUUCUUUACUUAUUCGGUAAAGCGAAAAAAUUGUGGCCAAUUUGGCGGUGUUUAUGUCGCUGUUGGUCAUUGUUUUCAUGUUAGAUUGAAGCUUUGUUUACAGCCGUCGCUUUGUGUCGCCAUUUGACGCAUUGUUGUACUGGGUUAUCCCGGUGUGUGGUGUAGUCAGUAUGGAUGAUCGGCGAUAGGUUUGAAGUGAUUCGCUCCGGAAACAGUGUCAGACGGGGAGUUUGACUGGGGCGGUACAUCUGUUAAACGAUAACGCAGGUGUCCUAAGGUAAGCUCAGCGAGGACAGAAACCUCGCUUAGAGUAAACGGGCACAAGCUUACUUGAUUUUGAUUUCCAGUACGAAUAGAAACCGCGAAAGCGUGG
rfam:Trichinella sp. T9 scaffold369s, whole genome shotgun sequence.